GAUGAACGCUGGCGGCGUGCCUAAUACAUGCGAGUCGAGCGAACAGACGAGGAGCUUUCUCCUCUGACGUUAGCGGCGGACGGGUGAGUAACACGUGGAUAACCUACCUAUAAGACUGGGAUAACUUCGGGAAACCGGAGCUAAUACCGGAUAAUAUAUUGAACCGCAUGGUUCAAUAGUGAAAGACGGUUUUGCUGUCACUUAUAGAUGGAUCCGCGCCGCAUUAGCUAGUUGGUAAGGUAACGGCUUACCAAGGCAACGAUGCGUAGCCGACCUGAGAGGGUGAUCGGCCACACUGGAACUGAGACACGGUCCAGACUCCUACGGGAGGCAGCAGUAGGGAAUCUUCCGCAAUGGGCGAAAGCCUGACGGAGCAACGCCGCGUGAGUGAUGAAGGUCUUCGGAUCGUAAAACUCUGUUAUUAGGGAAGAACAAAUGUGUAAGUAACUAUGCACGUCUUGACGGUACCUAAUCAGAAAGCCACGGCUAACUACGUG
rnacentral:rRNA from 1 species